rnacentral:rRNA from 1 species
ACAAGCGGUGAGCAUGUGGUUUAAUUCGAAGCAACGCGUAAGAACCUUACCAGGUCUUGACAUCCGGGAUUUCUGGAAACAGAGAAGUGCUUUAGCAAUAAGAACCCGGUGACAGGUGCUGCAUGGCUGUCGUCAGCUCGUGUCGUGAGAUGUUGGGUUAAGUCCCGCAACGAGCGCAACCCUCGCCUUUAGUUGCCAGCAUUCAGUUGGGCACUCUAGAGGGACUGCCGGUGUCAAACCGGAGGAAGGUGGGAUGACGUCAAGUCCUCAUGGCCUUUAUGUCUAGGGCUACACACGUACUACAAUGGCCGGUACAAAGGGCAGCCACUCAGCGAUGAGGCGCUAAUCCCAUAAAGCCGGUCUCAGUCCGGAUCGCAGUCUGCAACUCGACUGCGUGAAGUUGGAAUCGCUAGUAAUCGUAGAUCAGCAUGCUACGGUGAAUACGUUCCCGGGCCUU